rnacentral:rRNA from 1 species
UAGGGAAUAUUGGUUAAUGUGCGAAAGCGCCAACCAGCAACGCCGCGUGUGCGAUGAAGGCCUUCGGGUCGUAAAGCACUUUUUGCAGGGACGAGGAAGGACGGUACCUGCAGAAUAAGUCUCGGCUAACUACGUGCCAGCAGCCGCGGUAAAACGUAGGAGACGAGCGUUACCCGGAUUUACUGGGCGUAAAGCGCGUGCAGGCGGCAUGGCAAGUUGGAUGUGAAAGCUCCCGGCUUAACUGGGAGAGGUCGUUCAAUACUGCCAGGCUUGAGAGUGGUAGAGGGAAGCGGAAUUCCGGGUGUAGUGGUGAAAUGCGUAGAUAUCCGGAGGAACACCAGUGGCGAAAGCGGCUUCCUGGCCCAUUUCUGACGCUCAGACGCGAAAGCUAGGGUAGCAAACGG